CAGAAUGUAAUGAACAAUAACUAUUAUCAUUGUUAUAUUUUUAUUUCAGUGGCAGAAAAACUCAAGAAAAGAAAUAAUUCUCUGCCUGUCCUUUUCGCCUAUGUCAUCUCCUUUAUUCAUACUCCCUGAGAACAACAGGAAAGGAACAAAACAGAACAGAAGAAGGGAUCCAAAGAGAGACAUUUGAAGAGAUGAAGCUACCAAAACAUUGAAAAGUUGUUUAUGUCAAACGUUGGGUGGCAGUGCAGGAGAGAGGCAGUGGGGUACAGGUCUGUGAAUUGAAGAAAUGGGAAGUUUUAAAACAUCCUAUUCUACCAGUGGAUGCGAGAACCCCCUGCUCUGUGUUACACUUGGUAAAUAACACCACAGGUUGCUUUCAGUGACCAUGAGAGUUUUUUGGAUUCCAACUUGCAGAACGUUCCUCGAGGAGCCUGCGAUGCCCAAGCAGGUCCCAGAAGCUACCAUUCCCCGUCGGGUUCUGUGACUUCUUCCAGUCUCUUUGCUCCUUCCUGCCACAUUCUGACUGGUUUCGAUGGAGCAGAAUCGGGCAUCUCUCUGUGGAACACGCCAAGAGGUUUGGGAGGACGUCUUGCGUACCCCUUUUUUAACCUGGUAAGUGGGACUCUCUGAAGCCACUCCAAUCCAGGAUUGGAAAGCCAGCUUCAUAACUUA